AGCUGAUAAAUUUCAGAAAAAAAUGUUUAUUUUGUAUUAAGCAUGUCUUCCACUGCCUUGAGUCAUAGACAGAAAACAGAUCUUGUUCUGAAUCUUCUGCUGGCAGGAAUAGUACUAGUUUGCUGGGUAUACAUGAUCAAGGUUGGAAUGGUUGUUACGGAAAGAUACUUGGAGACUAUUCGACCCAGG